UUUUUUUCCUAUUUAUUUAUAUGCCAUAUCUAUAUAAAUAAAUACCACCUUUCUUCUCCCUUCGAUAUGUCUUCACUGUAAUUUUUCUUGAUUUCUCUAUCAUUUGGUCUCAGAUUUUUUCAAGACUACGUAAUUACACACACACACACACACACACAUACACACCAUCCCACGCAUUCUCACGCAACCCCACCUCCUCAGAACCUCACUCACUCACUCCCACACCUCCUCCUAACCCCCACCACCCUCAGUCCAGUCCAGGACAGCCCUCUCAGUCAAAUUGCCCAUUUGGAGUCCAGCAAACACAACUGCCCUGAAUUUGAUCUUUCUGGUUAUGCCUAUUCUAUUGAGCCCCCCCCCCUCCCCAGGUUCCUCCUAUAGCCUACAGCCCCGUCCACUCCCCAGGCCCCCCCCCCCCCACACCAUCACCCCUCCCCUAGAGACAGCAUGACUGUACCAGGGCUGCUGAGUUGGCCAUAGGACUGACAGGAGAAGCCUGCCCUUUCUGUAAAUCAACAAUACGACUAAUUGAUUGUAAUAAUAUUCGACCUUUUUUUUCAAAUUCAUCAGAUAAAGUGAGCUUCAUUGACGCUAUCGCAGUCUCUCCGAGUAACAUUGGGACUCAUUCGAAUCUACAGUAUGACCAGUUAUGUCAAUGGGCGGUCAGUCCUUCCUCAAUCUCUGUUAGGGGACUCCAGGAAAUCACAGUUUUAAAUCACUGACAGUUGACAAUGACUCGAUUUCUCCUAAGCACAUCGCUAAGCCCAGUGUGUGGCUGUGCGUGUGUGCGUGUGUGUGUGCGUCUGUGUGUGUGUCCCUGCAGCAUACUCCACGCCAGGCUCCACAGCUCCCAACAGGUUUGUCAGCAUCGGAGCACGGGACAACUUUCUGAACAUCCCCCAGCAGACUCAGUCUUGGUUCCUCUGACAAGGCCUUACUGAAUCAACAGCUGAAAUUGUGUCAUGAAAAUUGGAAAACUGAAAAGGAAAACACACUGAAAAAAAGGAACUGCUGACACUUAAGUAUUUCUCUCUCGCCGUCACUGUCCAAAACAACAAUCCGUCGCCAUAGGACCCCCUAGUUACCCAAUACGAAUUGAGCAGGAAAAAACUCAGCCAACCAACGCUCACCACAGACGGCUUCGAUGGGAUGAGUUGGAGUGGACAGACUCUGAAUGCAAGGAGGAAGAGGAGGAAGAGGAGGAAGACCUGUCGCACGUGAAAUGUUGGAAAAGCAAGCUCAAAAAGGCCUGAAAACUGACCAAUUAUUAAGUUUGAUGUUUUUAUAUUUUCAUUUUUUGUAUAUUUCCAUAAUGAAACUCCAUGGCAAUGGCUAAGAGAUCCAUCCAACUUCAACUGCAAAAAGCAACUAAAACAAUAGAAGAAAUUGGACAUAAAAUAAUUGGUUAGGUUUCACCUCAAAUUAACCCAGUUGGUAUUCUCCAAGCACUCAUCCUCCAGGUGCUUACCCCUGGCUCCCUUGUUCCCUCUCCCUCUCUCACCUCGGUGGCCAGGGCCCGGUGAACGCCCCGCAGACACACAUCCCGCCCGGCGACACGCCCUCACUGCCGCUCGAUUCGCUCAGCCCUGAAUCUCCCCCAUUUUUCCGAUUGGCCAAUAACGGUGACACCAUCCAAUGGUGUGACAUCUGCACUAAACGGCUGGUCUUUGUUUACCUGUCAGAAUAUCAGGACCACGUCCUCCUGUGAGAAGAGAUAGCCAUGAGCCGCGAUCGAACACACGACAGACAGUCACAACACUAACCAUGUGCUCUUUCAUCCCCACACCUAUGCACUAUUGAUAACAAUAAGGGAUGGAACAGUAUUGCACAUUGAUGGUCAGACAAGAGCGAAGCGAGCCGGUCAGUGUUGGUUUGAAGCGAACGCGGGGCUGUGGCUGUGGCCAACGUUUAGAGCCCUGACACACACACACACACACACACACACGCUUGCAGCAUGCACACGCACAUACACACUUAUAAGAAUGCACAGACACCUACCAAAAUACACACACUCACGCAAACACACUCAUUGACCAUCUUCUGUUCAGAACAGUGUAGUACACACAACGAAUAAAGCAACAGCAACAUCUUGUUUUUCAUAGCAUGGACAUACCAUACAUACACAUUUUACUUCAGCUUUCAUUUUGUUUGUAGUCGGUUUCUUGCAUAAUUUUUAUUUGUUUGCUGGAUUGGUUUUGGUUUUGUCGGGUUGAUCAUGUUUUAUGUUCUUUAAUUUGUCAUCAAGAGUUUUUUUUUUUUUUUUUGCAGUAAGACUAAUCUUAUCACUCAGAUUUCACUUAACAACAGAAAAACAAAUGUCUCAAACCAGACUCUGACAAACACUCGUUCAAUUUCGACUGCAUCCCCUGGUACCACUUCACCCUGUAUCCACAGUCCUGUCACAUCUGAGUUUAAGGAGCACACACACACACACUCACUCACACACACAGCAGCGUACGGCAAUGCACGCCAACAGACACCAACACCCUGAUUUUGAGAAAUGAAAGGGAAGCCUUUAUAUUAUGGUUCUCUAAACUGCCUUUGUUAAUGGUUUUUCAUAAUUUAAUUUGAGAUACUUUUUUUUUCUACCGUAAAUGUUUCUUAUGAAAUUGUUAUUGAUAUUCAUUUCACCAUGACAAAAUAAUUCAAAAAGCCAAGUCACAAAAUAACUGGACUGCCCAGCUGUUGGCUCCAUAUGCAGGGAUAGUACUGGCUGUACUCACAACUUUCAGCUUCUAGUCAAAUUAUCUCUAUGUACUAAAACCAUAUAUUAAGACGAGAACAAUCUAUAGAAAAGUGCCUCUUUACUCCCCUCAUGCAAUUAGUAAUAAACUUGAAUUCAGGUCCUGUCUUCUCAUAUAAGCUAAAGCUACACCCAGUGGUAGCAUUUAUAAACAUGGAAACCAUUUGGCCCCUAACAGGUCUUUAUAGAGCACUGCAAACUGUUGUUGUUUUCUGAGAGAGAGAGAGAGAUCGUAUACAUAUAUAUUUAUGAUGUAUGCUCUUUUCAAACUUUUACCUUCACAAGCUGAUUGGCAGUCUAGUUAUUUUCUGAACCUCAGUCCCCCUAAGUGACAUCACGUCACUGUAACCAGUAAGAUUUGACACUCACACACACACAAUCUACAGUGCAGCCUUCGGGAAAAAGUCCAUCAUGCAAAUAGAUGAAACAUGUCUAAAAUCGACAGUAGGAUUGAAGAAAAAAAAGUGUUUGUUUUUUGAUGGAAAGUAUUAUUAUUGAAAAAUAUGUGUCGAUUGAGCCACGUGCAAUGCAUUGGGUAGAUAAUUGUGUUUGUCUGUUAGAGAUUUUUAAGAAAGCUACGAGAAAAGAGAAGAAAAAAAAUCUAUUUGUUUCAAGUCCAUAAGCUCCUGGACUCUAAACUAGAGGGCCAUGAAAGAUCCUAGUCUUUGUAAGUUGGGGAUAUUUGUUUUUAUUUCCUUUGUCUCUUUUUUUAAAUGUUUUCCGUGUAAUCAUUUGUUUAUAAAAAAAAAAAAUGUGGGAGGGCUGAAGGAAACAUUUCUACAAAAUUAUUAUAUUGUGAGAUGAAAACCGGUGCUUUUAAACAAAGUACAUUCAACCUAUUAUACAUGAAUGGUAAUGAACAAAACAGUGAACCGUUUAGGAAACAGCAUUAUUCCUCUUCCUGUUUGUAUUCUUCUAUUUGUAAUGAGUGGGGGGAGGGGUUCCUAUACCAAUAGGUUGUGACACAAAAGGCAUUUUGGUUCAACCUUUAGAAACAGACCUGUACUGUUAAGCCCACAAUUUCCAAUUCAACAAUUUAAUCACAUUCACACCCGUAGAAGAGUCCGGCCCCUCAAACAGUUAACACAGCCAGUUGACUCCCAUGAACAGCAUCUCUCAGUUAAAAACCCAGCAUUCACCAGUUCGACCACACCCGAUCCCGAUUCAAACCCAUUCGUUUGGAACUCGUGCAUUUUAUUGGCAUCACAUGACAAGAUCUCCCUCGCUGUGGGAGAUGCUCUCUAUCCUGGGAUCCCCCUCUGAGAAGAUCUGCUUUCUUGUUUUUCGAAAUUUGGACGAGCCCAAUCGGAUUGUUGCCUUGGCACAAGACGGAGAUGUUUGUAACGUGAGCUGAGUUUUAGUCAAGUGUCUUCUAGUUUAGACUCCUCUCUCCCUCUCUCUCUCUCUCUCUCUCUCUCUCUCUCUCUCUCAGAGCAAACCACAGAUUACAGUACUACAGUAUAAGGGUAAGAUGGCAGCUCCGAAUGGUGCUUAUGAGAAGUCAAUCUGAGCCCGGUUCAGCAAGGUCAGCCCCCGCCCCUCCAACCCUCCCCCGCCCCUUCCCCUGUAAAUGACUCCUGAAUAGUGCUUGUGCCGUAGUGUAUAGUUUCCCAGCAGUUAAAGGUUGUCCCUUAAAAGUGCCUUUUGUUCACAGACUCCAUUUUGUAAUCCAGAUCGCCCUCCGAAAAAGGGUCGGAGGUAGCAAGUUGGCCCCGAGUGCAGACCCAGGAUCAGGUGAUCCCGCCAUGACCCUGUCAUAAGCUCUACCCCAUCGGAGGAGAGGAGCGAGAGAGCUCAGCUGACCCUGGGUCAGCACUUAGGGGGCAACUUUGUCCCCCACCUUCGAAAAGAAUCCCUUCCAUUGUAAUUCCCCUAUAUCCUCUUCCUUUUCAAAGCCGUAUAUAUAUAGUACAAAAGGAAACUGGUGUGAAUUAGUUAUUUACUUUUUAUUGAUAAAUGAUGACAAAAAAAAAAAAACGAAAAGGCAAAAAAAAAAAAUAUCUCGUUCUCGUUCCGCUCUUGCUUCUUUUCUUCCCCUCCGUUUCCUCUGUCUGUUCUCUCUCUCUCUUAGACACUGGGAGUAGUCUGUAACUGUGUGUCCGUCUCUCUCCCCUCGUCUCUCUCCCGCCUUCCAGGCGAUGGAAGGGGUCGGGGGAGAAAAAAAAAAAAUUGCAGAAACUUUUUGUCUGAGCAGAAUGCAGUUAGCUCACAUGUUAUUCUUGUCUGUAUGCUUCACAUUGUAUGACCAUACCCAUCUCUUCAGCUUCUCCAUUCAACAGCUAAUGUAAGUGAACAAAUUACACCGAUGGGCUUUUUGGGGGUGCCCUGGAUCGAAGGGGGAGACAGCGGGGCCUGAGGACUGGGGGGGGGGGGGGUCGAGGUCUUGGGAGAAUGUUUGAGUUUAAGUGAUGUUACAAAGGGCUGCUGUGACUGAGGAAGUCUGUUUUCAUUUGGGGGUAUUUAUUUUGUUUCCCUUGUCAUUUCCUUUCUUUUUUUCCUUCACUUUAAUUUGGAUUUUUCUUUUUCAUAUUUUGCUAUCAGGGUAUGCUGUCGUUGAGAUUCUCUCUAAGAGAUGAUUUGACUGUAAAUGAAGCUACAUGCACCUUAUCCACGGACUUGUCCCUCAUGAGGCUGAGAAAAGGGGUUGUGCAUCACCAGUACACACACACACACCAACCAACCAGCCUUUCUUUAGUAUUAUUAGUGUAGUGGGGUUUAAAUCAAGUAAACCUGGAUCAACAGUAUUAGCCAUGGACAAAAAAACAAACCACCCCCCCCCCCAUCAGCAGUACAGACCUAAGGACUCCCACCUCACCCCUGUAUCACCUCAUGCUGGACUGUUCUGCCUCUGUUUCGUUUGAGAUUGUUUUCCUUUUGUUUUUCUCAUAACGGUGAAGGGUUCGAGGUGUUCAGACAGUGCCCUACGACCCUCCCAGGCCCCCCUCUGUUCCAUGCCCCAUGUGCCCCCCCCCCCCCUCUAAGCAGAGCCCACGUCUUUGUGAGAACACCCCUCGAGAGCUCUAGGUGAAAUGCAUGUGUUAAUUACAGUUUCUUUUCCAUAAGAAGAAAAACACAGUUUGAGAAACGCAGCGUCUGAUUGAAUAAAAAGGAUGUUCUUGACUGUA